ACCAAAAUAAGUUAUUACCUGGGGAAAAUUUGUCUUGAAAACAAAUUUGAAGUGUUCAAUUCACUUAAUAACUU
rnacentral:tRNA from 1 species